GACGAACGCUGGCGGCGUGCUUAACACAUGCAAGUCGAGCGGUAAGGCCCUUUGGGGUACACGAGCGGCGAACGGGUGAGUAACACGUGGGUGACCUGCCCUCAGCUCUGGGAUAAGCCCGGGAAACUGGGUCUAAUACCGGAUAUGACCACAUGGUGCAUGUUGUGUGGUGGAAAGUCUUGUUCUUAAUUGGACUCUUCGGCUGGGGGAUGGGCCCGCGGCCUAUCAGCUUGNGGUGGGGUGAUGGCCUACCAAGGCGACGACGGGUAGCCGGCCUGAGAGGGCGACCGGCCACACUGGGACUGAGACACGGCCCAGACUCCUACGGGAGGCAGCAGUGGGGAAUAUUGCGCAAUGGGCGGAAGCCUGACGCAGCGACGCCGCGUGGGGGAUGACGGCCU
rnacentral:rRNA from 1 species